rnacentral:misc_RNA from 1 species
GUGAAUCAUCAAAUUUUUGAACGCAAAUUGCGCCUUCUUCGGAAGGCAUGUCCGUUUGAGGGCACCAUUUAACAACUAAUGUGCAUGCUGUUUGUAUUUUUACGCCCGCGUGCACACGUUGUUGAGCUUUUCCCAAAAUAGCAAUUUAUUUGGUGGCACGUACUCUCCAGCGUCAGCUUUCCCCUCA